rnacentral:rRNA from 1 species
GACGAACGCUGGCGGCGUGCUUAACACAUGCAAGUCGAACGAAGUGGCGAACGGGUGAGUAACGCGUAAUCAACCUGCCCAUCAGAGGGGGAUAACAGUUGGAAACGACUGCUAAUACCGCAUACUGAUGAAGUGGAUUGCGUCUGAUCAGCUAGUGGGAGGGGUAACGGCUCACAAAGGCGAUGAUACGUAGCCGGGCUGAGAGGAUGAACGGCCACAUUGGGACUGAGACACGGCCCAGACUCCUACGGGAGGCAGCAGUGGGGAAUCUUCCGCAAUGGACGAAAGUCUGACGGAGCAACGCCGCGUGUGCGAUGAAGGCCUUCGGGUUGUAAAGCACUUUUGGCAGGAAAGCGGUACCUGCAGAAUAAGCACCGGCUAACUACGUGCCAGCAGCCGCGGUAAUAC